rnacentral:tRNA from 1 species
ACCAAUGUCUUGUAUCCAAGGAUAAUGUUUCGGCCAUUAUUUAUGUAGCUGAGUACUACCUUUGGUU